UACGUAGGCGGACUAGUCAGUCAGAGGUGAAAUCCCAGGGCUCAACCCUGGAACUGCCUUUGAUACUGCUAGUCUUGAGUUCGAGAGAGGUGAGUGGAAUUCCAAGUGUAGAGGUGAAAUUCGUAGAUAUUUGGAGGAACACCAGUGGCGAAGGCGGCUCACUGGCUCGAUACUGACGCUGAGGUACGAAAGUGUGGGGAGCAAACAGGAUUAGAUACCCUGGUAGUCC
rnacentral:rRNA from 1 species